rnacentral:ncRNA from 1 species
UGUUGAGCUUGACUUUAGUUUGACAUUGUGAAGAAUGAUGAAAGGUGUAGUGUAGCUAGAAGAUAGUUUCGGUGGCCAAUUAAACAGCGCCACUUUCAUCGAUUCUUUAGUUGUUCGGCAAAAACAGAAUUGAGUUUCGACUCUUGUUUUAUUUUUCUUAAGUAAAGUCACAUGGUGGUAAUGCCACUCUCGCCGAAAACAUUGUGAGGCGAGGAGUUCGAAUGAGGUGGUACAACAGUCAAACUCUAACGUAAGUGUCUUAGGGCUAGUUCAGGGAGGACGGAAACUUCUCGUAGAGCAAAAGGGUAAAAGCUUGCUUAACUCCAAUAAAAAUUCGCUUAUUUCUGGGUUAUAAACGGAAACGUGACCAAA